rnacentral:rRNA from 1 species
GGUCAAGUUACAAAGGGCUAACGGUGGAUACCUAGGCACACAGAGGCGAUGAAGGACGUGGCGACCGACGAUAAGCUCCGGGGAGCUGGAAGCAAGCAUUGAUCCUUAUAUGU